CAGCACCUCAAGUGGUCAGGAUGAUUAUUGGGCCUAAAGCAUCCGUAGCCGGCUCUGUAAGUUUUCGGUUAAAUCUGUACGCUCGACGUACAGGCUGCCGGGAAUACUGCAGCGCUAGGGAGUGGGAGAGGUAGACGGUACUCGGUAGGAAGGGGUAAAAUCCUUUGAUCUAUUGAUGACCACCUGUGGCGAAGGCGGUCUACCAGAACACGUCCGACGGUGAGGGAUGAAAGCUGGGGGAGCAAACCGGAUUAGAUACCCGAGUAGUCC
rnacentral:rRNA from 1 species